AUGCACGCUGGCGGCGUGCCUAAUACAUGCCAGUCGAGCGAACAGACGAGGAGCUUGCUCCUCUGACGUUAGCGGCGGACGGGUGAGUGACACGUGGAUAACCUACCUAUAAGACUGGGAUAACUUCGGGAAACCGGAGCUAAUACCGGAUAAUAUAUUGAACCGCAUGGUUCAAUAGUGAAAGACGGUUUUGCUGUCACUUAUAGAUGGAUCCGCGCCGCAUUAGCUAGUUGGUAAGGUAACGGCUUACCAAGGCAACGAUGCGUAGCCGACCUGAGAGGGUGAUCGGCCACACUGGAACUGAGACACGGUCCAGACUCCUACGGGAGGCAGCAGUAGGGAAUCUUCCGCAAUGGGCGAAAGCCUGACGGAGCAACGCCGCGUGAGUGAUGAAGGUCUUCGGAUCGUAAAACUCUGUUAUUAGGGAAGAACAAAUGUGUAAGUAACUAUGCACGUCUUGACGGUACCUAAUCAGAAAGCCACGGCUAACUACGUG
rnacentral:rRNA from 1 species